rnacentral:rRNA from 1 species
AGUGAACGCUGGCGGUAGGCCUAACACAUGCAAGUCGAACGGCAGCACAGGAGAGCUUGCUCUCUGGGUGGCGAGUGGCGGACGGGUGAGGAAUACAUCGGAAUCUACUCUGUCGUGAGGGACAACGUAGGGAAACUUACGCUAAUACCGCAUAAGACCUACGGGCGAAAGCAGGGGAGCUUCGGACCUUGCGCGAUUGAAUGAGCCGAUGUCGGAUUAGCUAGUUGGCGGGGUAAAGGCCCACCAAGGCGACGAUCCGUAGCUGGUCUGAGAGGAUGAUCAGCCACACUGGAACUGAGACACGGUCCAGACUCCUACGGGAGGCAGCAGUGGGGAAUAUUGGACAAUGGGCGCAAGCCUGAUCCAGCCAUACCGCGUGGGUGAAGAAGGCCUUCGGGUUGUAAAGCCCUUUUGUUGGGAAAGAAAUCCAGCUGGCUAAUACCCGGUUGGGAUGACGGUACCCAAAGAAUAAGCACCGGCUGACUUCGUGCCAGCCGCCGCGGUAA